GAGGUUGUGGCUUAGUGGUAGAGUGCUCACCUAACAUGUGUGAGGCCCUGGGUUAAAUCCUCAGCACCACA
rnacentral:tRNA from 1 species